CCCUUAGAUGUUCUGGGCCGCACGCGCGCUACACUGGUACGUUCAACAAGUUUACAACCUUGACCGAAAGGUCUGGGUAAUCUUUUGAAUGCGUACCGUGCUAGGGAUAGAUUAUUGCAAUUAUCAAUCUUGAACGAGGAAUUCCUAGUAAACGCAAGUCAACAGCUUGCGUUGAUUACGUCCCUGCCCUUUGUACACACCGCCCGUCGCUACUACUGAUUGGAUGUUUAAGCGAGGUUCUCGAACUGCUAGCGACUUAGCUUCGGUGAGGUCGCAGUGUGGGAAGUGAACCUAGCUUUGGUGUCUAGAGGAAGUAAAAGUCGUAACA
rnacentral:rRNA from 1 species